CAGUCGCCGCGGUAAUACGAAGGGUGCAAGCGUUAAUCGGAAUUACUGGGCGUAAAGCGUGCGUAGGCGGUGAGUUAAGUCCGUUGUGAAAGCCCUGGGCUCAACCUGGGAAUUGCAGUGGAUACUGGGUCACUAGAGUGUGGUAGAGGAUAGUGGAAUUUCCGGUGUAGCAGUGAAAUGCGUAGAGAUCGGAAGGAACAUCUGUGGCGAAGGCGACUAUCUGGGCCAACACUGACACUGAGGCACGAAAGCGUGGGGAGCAAACAGGAUUAGAUACCCCGGUAGUCCCUGUCUCUUAUAC
rnacentral:rRNA from 1 species